AUUGAACGCUGGCGGCAGGCCUAACACAUGCAAGUCGAGCGAGUGGCGGACGGGUGAGUAAUGUAUGGGGAACUGCCCGAUGGAGGGGGAUAACUACUGGAAACGGUGGCUAAUACCGCAUACCAUCGGAUGUGCCCAUAUGGGAUUAGCUAGUAGGUGGGGUAAAGGCUCACCUAGGCGACGAUCUCUAGCUGGUCUGAGAGGCUGAUCAGCCACACUGGGACGGGGGAACGGCCCAGACUCCUACGGGAGGCCACAAGGGGGAAUAUUGCACAAUGGGCGCAAGCCUGAUGCAGCCAAGCCGCGGGUAUGGAGAAGGGCUUAGGGGUUUAAAGUACUUUCAGCGGGGAGGCGUUACCCGCAAGAGAAGCACCGGCCUACUCCGGGCCAACAGCCGCGGUAAUUC
rnacentral:rRNA from 1 species